AUUGAACGCUAGCGGGAUGCCUUACACAUGCAAGUCGAACGGAGUGGCGAACGGGUGAGUAAUGUAUCGUAACGUGCCCAGUAGCGUGGGAUAACUACGCGAAAGCGUAGCUAAUACCACAUACUAUUAGAGCGGCCGAGAUCGGAUUAGCUAGUUGGUGGGGUAACGGCUAACCAAGGCGACGAUACGUAGCUGGUUUGAGAGGACGACCCGCCACACUGGGACUGAGACACGGCCCAGACUCCUACGGGAGGCAGCAGUGGGGAAUUUUGGACAAUGGGGGAAACCCUGACCCAGCCAUCCCGCGUGUGGGAUGAAGGCCUUCGGGUUGUAAAGCACUGUUGUUAGGAAAGCGGUACCUAAAGAAUAAGCACCGGCUAACUACGUGCCAGCAGCCGCGGUAAUAC
rnacentral:rRNA from 1 species